rnacentral:rRNA from 1 species
GACGAACGCUGGCGGCGUGCCUAACACAUGCAAGUCGAACGGAAAGGCCCUGCUUUUGUGGGGUGCUCGAGUGGCGAACGGGUGAGUAACACGUGAGUAUCCUGCCCUGGACUUUGGGAUAACUUCAGGAAACUGGGGCUAAUACCGGCUAGGAGCUCCUGCUGCAUGGUGGGGGUUGGAAAGCUUCGGCGGUUGGGGAUGGACUUGGGGCUUAUCAGCUUGUUGGUGGGGUAGUGGCUUACCAAGGCUUGGGUCGGUAGCCGGCCUGAGAGGGUGACCGGUCACACUGGAACUGAGACACGGUCCAGACUCCUACGGGAGGCCGCAGUGGCGAAUAUUGGCCAAUGGGCGAAAGCCUGAUCCAGCCAUGCCGCGUGUGGGAAGAAGGUCUUCGGAUUGUAAAGCACUUUAAGUUGGGAGGAAGGGCAGUAAGUUAAUACCUUGCUGUUUUGACGUUACCAACAGAAUAAGCACCGGCUAACUUCGUG